rnacentral:rRNA from 1 species
GAUGAACGCUGGCGGCGUGCCUAAUACAUGCAAGUCGAGCGAACAGACGAGGAGCUUGCUCCUUUGACGUUAGCGGCGGACGGGUGAGUAACACGUGGGUAACCUACCUAUAAGACUGGGAUAACUUCGGGAAACCGGAGCUAAUACCGGAUAAUAUUUCGAACCGCAUGGUUCGAUAGUGAAAGAUGGCUCUGCUAUCACUUAUAGAUGGACCUGCGCCGUAUUAGCUAGUUGGUAAGGUAACGGCUUACCAAGGCAACGAUACGUAGCCGACCUGAGAGGGUGAUCGGCCACACUGGAACUGAGACACGGUCCAGACUCCUACGGGAGGCAGCAGUAGGGAAUCUUCCGCAAUGGGCGAAAGCCUGACGGAGCAACGCCGCGUGAGUGAUGAAGGUCUUCGGAUCGUAAAACUCUGUUAUUAGGGAAGAACAAACGUGUAAGUAACUGUGCACGUCUUGACGGUACCUAAUCAGAAAGCCACGGCUAACUACGU